AUUGAACGCUGGCGGCGUGCUUAACACAUGCAAGUCGAUCGGUAACGCGGGGGCAACCCUGGCGACGAGAGGCGGACGGGUGAGGAACGCUUGGGAAUCUGCCCUUCAGCGGGGGACAACCCGGGGAAACCCGGGCUAAUACCGCGUACGCUCCACGGAGGAAAGCCGGGGACCGCAAGGCCUGGCACUGAAGGAUGAGCCCAAGUCGGAUUAGCUAGUUGGCGGGGUAACGGCCCACCAAGGCGACGAUCCGUAGCUGGUCUGAGAGGACGAUCAGCCACACUGGGACUGAGACACGGCCCAGACUCCUACGGGAGGCAGCAGUGGGGAAUAUUGGACAAUGGGCGAAAGCCUGAUCCAGCGACGCCGCGUGGGUGAAGAAGGCCUGCGGGUUGUAAAGCCCUUUCGGUAGGGACGAAAGCCCUCGACCUAACACGUCGGGGGGUUGACUUAACCUACAAAAGAAGCACCGGCUAACUCUGUGCCAGCAGCCGCGGUAAGAC
rnacentral:rRNA from 1 species